AACAAUCACACCCAUAUAGCCCUACACGUGCUGUCUAACUAGUUUUACUAUCUUUUCGCCGUCAACGCGUUUUUUGCUAACAAACUGGAUAUCCACCGAAACUGUUAUUUGGAUAAAAUAAUUAGUUAAAUGGAUGAACAGUUCUUUACUACCUCCGAAGAAAGAAGGCAAAUGGAAGAAAUGGCUUCUGUUUCAAAAAAAUUAUGCAGGUCUACUAUUAAGUGGUUUCUGGCCUACAUCUUAUUCUUAAGGGGAAGUACUUACUUAUACACUUUGGCAAGAGGACGUUUAGGUUAAUUCAUGAGUACAUACUAGCUUCGUAGAUUUUAUAUAGAU